rnacentral:rRNA from 1 species
UACAGAGGUCUCAAGCGUUGUUCGGAUUCAUUGGGCGUAAAGGGUGCGUAGGCGGCGCGGUAAGUCGGGUGUGAAAUCUCGGAGCUUAACUCCGAAACUGCAUUCGAUACUGCCGUGCUUGAGGACUGGAGAGGAGACUGGAAUUUACGGUGUAGCGGUGAAAUGCGUAGAUAUCGUAAGGAAGACCAGUGGCGAAAGCGGCUCACUGGAUCUCUUCUGACGCUGAGGCACGAAAGCUAGGGUAGCGAACGGG